GGUGGUCAAUAUGUUCGGAUUUUGUGCAAAAGCAAAAUUUCGACACAAAAUUCAACUCACAUAAAUUUUUUUAUUUUUUUUUGUUUUUGUAUCUUUUUUUAUCACUUUUUUGUGGAAAAUAUUUUUUUAUAUUUUAAGAGAGUGCCAAGAAUCAACAUGUAAAAUUUCAGAUCAUUUGAAAAACGUUUACCCACUGAGAAAUAUUUGUUUUCAGAAAAAACUU
rnacentral:lncRNA from 1 species